CCUACGGGUGGCAGCAGUGAGGAAUAUUGGUCAAUGGACGAGAGUCUGAACCAGCCAAGUAGCGUGAAGGAUGACUGCCCUAUGGGUUGUAAACUUCUUUUAUAUGGGAAUAAAACGUUCCACGUGUGGGAUUUUGUAUGUACCAUAUGAAUAAGGAUCGGCUAACUCCGUGCCAGCAGCCGCGGUAAUACGGAGGAUCCGAGCGUUAUCCGGAUUUAUUGGGUUUAAAGGGAGCGUAGGUGGUUUGUUAAGUCAGUUGUGAAAGUUUGCGGCUCAACCGUAACAUUGCAGUUGAAACUGGCAGUCUUGAGUACAGUAGAGGUGAGCGGAAUUCGUGGUGUAGCGGUGAAAUGCUUAGAUAUCACGAAGAACUCCGAUUGCGAAGGCAGUUCACUGGACUGCAACUGACGCUGAGGCUCGAAAGUGUGGGUAUCAAACAGGAUUAGAUACCCCUGUAGUC
rnacentral:rRNA from 1 species